rnacentral:rRNA from 1 species
GACGAACGCUGGCGGCGUGCUUAACACAUGCAAGUCGAACGGAAAGGCCCUGCGUUUGCUCGUUUCUCGAGUGGCGAACGGGUGUGUAACACGCGUGUAACAUGCACUUGACUUUGUGAUAACAUCAGGAAACUGGGGCGAAUACCGGAGAUGAUCUCCUGAUGCACGUUGGGGAUUGGUAAGUUUCGGCGGUUGGGGCUGGACUGGCUGCUUAUGAGCUGGUUUGUGGGGUAGGGGCUUACCAAGGCUUUGACGGGUAGCCGGCCUGAGAGGGUUACCGGCGACAUUGGGACUGCGAUACGGACCAGACUCCUACGGGCGGCAGUAGUGGGGAAUAUUGCAGAAUGGGCGGACGCCUGAUGCAGCAGUGCCGCGUGCGGGAUACCGGCCUUCGGGUUGUAAACAACUUUCGCAUGUGCCGUAGAGUGCGUGACGGUAAUUGGUCAAGAAGCAACGGCUAACUACGUG